GGGCCAAACAUCAAGGGGCUUUGACUGAUGGCAUGGCCCCACCAUCCUGCAUCUUUGUCCUGUCUGCUUCAAACUGCAGCAGUGCCACAGGCUGAAGGAACAGCCCUUCACAAGGGAAAAGCACUGGAAUAGGAUGGGAAGAUGAACUAGCCAUGGGACCUUAGAAACUCUAGACAGACAAGAUGCAUAGACUGCCAGACUCGACUCCAGCCCCAACGCACCGUGAUGUUCAGAGAAAAAACGUAGACCAUCCGCCCAGGAAAUGCAACAUCCUCAGUUCUGGAGGCUGGGAAAUCCAAGAUCAAGACAUCAGCAGACGCGGUGUCUGGUGAGCACCCACUUCCUGGGUCACAGAUGGCUGUCCUGUUGUGUCCUCACCUGGUAAAAGGGACAAGGGAGCGCUGGGGCCUCCUUUAUAAGAACGCAAAUUCCACCCCAGGGGCUACAGCCAUGGGCAAACUACGGCCCGCAGGCGAAUUCCACCCCAGGGGCUACAGCCAUGGGCAAACUACGGCCCGCAGGCCGUCUGGCCCGUUUGAAAUGAAUAAAACUAAAA